rnacentral:rRNA from 1 species
UACGGGGGGGGGCAAGCGUUGUUCGGAAUUACUGGGCGUAAAGGGCUCGUAGGCGGCCAACUAAGUCAGACGUGAAAUCCCUCGGCUUAACCGGGGAACUGCGUCUGAUACUGGAUGGCUAGAGGUUGGGAGAGGGAUGCGGAAUUCCAGGUGUAGCGGUGAAAUGCGUAGAUAUCUGGAGGAACACCGGUGGCGAAGGCGGAUCUCUGGGCCUUACCUGACGCUGAGGCGCGAAAGCUAGGGGAGCGAACAGG